GACCCAUAGCAUAGUGGUAUUGCAUUCGCUUCGUAAGCGAAAGGUCACGAGUUCGAUCCUCGUUGGGAGCUCA